GUGGGGAAUAUUGGACAAUGGGCGCAAGCCUGAUCCAGCCAUGCCGCGUGUGUGAAGAAGGUCUUCGGAUUGUAAAGCACUUUAAGUUGGGAGGAAGGGUAGUAACCUAAUACGUUGCUACUUUGACGUUACCGACAGAAUAAGCACCGGCUAACUUCGUGCCAGCAGCCGCGGUAAUACGAAGGGUGCAAGCGUUAAUCGGAAUUACUGGGCGUAAAGCGCGCGUAGGUGGUUCAGUAAGUUGGAAGUGAAAUCCCCGGGCUCAACCUGGGAACUGCUUUCAAAACUGCUGAGCUAGAGUACGGUAGAGGGUGGUGGAAUUUCCUGUGUAGCGGUGAAAUGCGUAGAUAUAGGAAGGAACACCAGUGGCGAAGGCGACCACCUGGACUGAUACUGACACUGAGGUGCGAAAGCGUGGGGAGCAAACAGGAUUAGAAACCCGGGUAGUCC
rnacentral:rRNA from 1 species